rnacentral:misc_RNA from 1 species
UAGAGUGUUACAACUCCCUAAACCACUGUGAACAUACCUAUGUUGCUUCGGCGGGAUCGCCCCGUGGCCCCCGUGGCCCGGAAUCAGGCGCCCGCCGGAGGUCCUAAACUCUAGUUUUCAAUUUGUCUUCUGAGUGGCGCAAGCAAAUAAAUAAAUCA